ACAGGAGGUCGCAAAGGCCGCUGUUCUGUGACCAGCAUUUCUAAACCACAACAGACACUCCUUGUGGCAGCCUGUUUCUCAAAGCAUCCCAGCCAUUUCGGAUUUACUCUUCUAAAAACUGAAGGGCCGAACAAAUUUAGGCUGAGAACAGAAGGAAAAAGUCGGCUCCGUGUCCACAUCCGUCUCAAUAUUUUCCCGAGUCUAAAGAACGAUCUAAGAAGGGAAACCCGGCCGCCAAGAGCCGAGGAAGCGGGAAGGGGCUGUGAGGAGGGCGGUGCUGUGGCGCCGAGGCCGGGCUGUCCCAUGCCGCUCCCCGGGCGCGCUUCGCCACCUGGUGGGCAUCGGGUAUUACUUAUCGAAUGUUUCCUUUUCAGAAACGUCGUGAGCCCUUGUUCUACAACUUCCCCAGCAUUAUCUCAUGUCUCUGCCUUCCUGAACUUGAUUAGGAUAAUUGACUGCAAGAUCUACAACUGGGGAACAGAAAGCAUUAUAUUAUAUUGAUGAAUGAUGUCCACGAUGUUUGCCAUAUGGUGUUCAGUGAUAAACUGAAGUUGGAAACAAAGCAGAAAGGAAUACAAUAACUCUUGAUCUGUGAUGCUUCUGUAAUGUUUAACAGAACAGCUGAAUGGCAAAGAAUGAAUAUUCCACUAUCUUGUUAAAUACGUUCUAAAGUUUUUAAGAUUAUAAGUCAAGUUUAUUUGUUCAUUUUAGUCCAAAUCCUGAGCCUAUGGAAAUUAACAGCAAAAUAACCAUUUCCUUCACUAUGAUUACAAUUUAACCCAUUUCUGUAAUUAUUUAAUAAUUGAAGCUUUGGAUAGUACAGAAAAUGACAGUGUCAUCUUUUAAAAUGACAUUUCUUUGGCUUUUCUGAGAGAUGCUUUGGCUAUUGGUAGAAAACAGGCUUCAUAUAUAUCCAAGCAGCUAAACAGAAAAGCUGAUCAGAUGCCUUCUGAAAUCAGAGAAAGGUCUCUGAAAUCUUCUGGUAAUCAGUACUUUGAGAACCACUGCUCUUCUGCAAGAACACAUACUUUCU
rnacentral:lncRNA from 1 species